GACCACCAUGUUUUACGGUAGAACGCUAGCCUGUCACGCUAGAGGUCGACGGUUCGAGCCCGUUCCAGGUCGCCA
rnacentral:tRNA from 1 species